rnacentral:rRNA from 1 species
AAAUUAGGCUUGGUUUUCCAAAAAAUAACUAUAAUUUUUUUAUGGCUUUUUUAAAAAAAAAAGAAACAGAAAAUAAAAUUUACUUAAUAAUAAAAAAUUAUUGAGAUUUAUAGUUAAAUUUAGCUAAUU